rnacentral:rRNA from 1 species
GAUGAACGCUGGCGGCGUGCCUAAUACAUGCAAGUCGAGCGAACGGACGAGAAGCUUGCUUCUCUGAUGUUAGCGGCGGACGGGUGAGUAACACGUGGAUAACCUACCUAUAAGACUGGGAUAACUUCGGGAAACCGGAGCUAAUACCGGAUGAUAUUUUGAACCGCAUGGUUCAAAAGUGAAAGACGGUCUUGCUUUCCCUUAUAGAUGGAUCCGCUCUGCAUUAGCUAGUUGGUAAGGUAACGGCCUACAAAGGCAACGAAGAAUAGCCGACCUGAGAGGUGGACCGGCCACACGGGAACUGAGCAACGGUCCAGACUCCUACGGAAGGCAGCAGUAGGGAAUCUUCCGCAAGGGGCGAAAGCCUGACGGAGCAACGCCGCGUGAGGGAUGAGGGUCUUCGGAUCUUAAAACUCUGUUAUUAGGGAAGAACAUAUGUGUAAGUAACUGUGCACAACUUGACGGUACCUAAUCAGAAAGCCACGGCUAACUACGUG